UGGGGAAUCUUGGACAAUGGGGGCAACCCUGAUCCAGCCAUGCCGCGUGGGUGAAGAAGGCCUUAGGGUUGUAAAGCCCUUUCAGCAGGGAAGAUGAUGACGGUACCUGCAGAAGAAGCCCCGGCUAACUCCGUGCCAGCAGCCGCGGUAAGACGGAGGGGGCUAGCGUUGUUCGGAAUUACUGGGCGUAAAGGGCGCGUAGGCGGAUCGUCAAGUUAGGGGUGAAAGGCCAGGGCUCAACCUUGGAACGGCCCUUGAAACUGGCGAUCUUGAGUCCGGGAGAGGAGAGCGGAAUUCCCAGUGUAGAGGUGAAAUUCGUAGAUAUUGGGAAGAACACCGGUGGCGAAGGCGGCUCUCUGGACCGGUACUGACGCUGAGGCGCGAAAGCGUGGGGAGCAAACA
rnacentral:rRNA from 1 species